rnacentral:tRNA from 1 species
GGGACUGGGGCUCAGUGGUAGAGCGCUCAUCUAGCACAUGUGAGGCCCUGGGUUCGAUCCUUAGCACCA